AACCGAGGACACAGGAAAGGAAGAAUUCCAGAGACACACAGAUCAUGUGACACCACACUUAGUGGGUCAAGGACACAAAGUAGCUACAAGCUCUUCAUAAACAGGUCGGUGAGUGCUGUAGAAGAAAUCCCGGGUGGAACUGCGAAGAACAGCCGACAGAACCUGAUAAGCUUGGGAUCCACCUUCUCUGUGUCCACAAAGGACUCCUCAGCA